AAAACAAGGAAGUGGAGACAACGGUUCGGCUCCUCUCUGAGCCUUUAUCAUGUCUUGAUAAAGGCUCAGAGAGGAGCCAAAACAUUGUCUCCACUUCCUUGCUA